rnacentral:rRNA from 1 species
CCUACGGGGGGCAGCAGUGGGGGAUAUUGCACAAUGGGGGAAACCCUGAUGCAGCGACGCCGCGUGGGUGAAGAAGUAUUUCGGUAUGUAAAGCCCUAUCAGCAGGGAAGAAAGAAGACGGUACCUGACUAAGAAGCCUCGGCUAACUACGUGCCAGCAGCCGCGGUAAUACGUAGGGGGCGAGCGUUAUCCGGAUUCACUGGGUGUAAAGGGAGCGUAGACGGCCGUGCAAGCCAGGGGUGAAAGCCCGGGGCCCAACCCCGGGACUGCUCUUGGAACUGGGCGGCUGGAGUGCGGGAGGGGCAGGCGGAAUUCCUGGUGUAGCGGUGAAAUGCGUAGAUAUCAGGAGGAACACCGGCGGCGAGGGCGGCCUGCUGGACCGCGACUGACGUUGAGGCUCGAAAGCGUGGGGAGCGAACAGGAUUAGAUACCCGUGUAGUC